rnacentral:tRNA from 1 species
GGGAUUGUAGUUCCAAUGGUCAGAGCACCGCCCUGUCAAGGCGGAAGCUGCGGGUUCGAGCCCCGUCAGUCCCG